CUUCCUGACCAGGAGCCAAUCAGCGGGCCCGCGCGGAGGUAUAGGCACCGGGGGUGGGUAGGGGUGCUUCGCUUCCGGUGGCAGGGCCUGGGGAAGGGGUGGCAGGCGCCAUGUCCGGCCGCGAAGGUGGCAAGAAGAAGCCCCUGAAGCAGCCCAAGAAGCAGGCCAAGGAGAUGGACGAGGAAGAUAAGGCAUUCAAGCAGAAACAGAAAGAGGAGCAGAAGAAACUCGAGGAGCUAAAAGCGAAGGCCGCGGGGAAGGGCCCCCUGGCCACAGGUGGAAUUAAGAAAUCUGGCAAAAAGUAAGCCGUCCCUUGUACCCGAGACAAUGGGGAUCUUUAAUUCCAUUCCUGUUUAAACAUCUGGAUUUCCUGCCAUAGCAUCUGUUGCCACCUAUAGAUAGAAUGAAGUGUUGUCUUAGAUCCUGUUGUACAGUUAAGAAUAAACUUUUGUAAAAAAAUAAUAAUAAUAAAAUCAGUGGCUCAUGUUCUCUUA